rnacentral:misc_RNA from 1 species
AACCCUGGAAAUGGGCUGUUGUUAAUUAGGUAAUACAAAGGGCACAUAUACUAAUUAAUGGGACAGGGAAGCGACACCCUAUCAAAAAACCUUGACAAUUUUGUGAUCGCAAUUUUGAAGUUAUUUCGUUUUCAUCAACUUUAAUUUGUUGCAAUUAGGUUACCUACCUUCAAUUUUAUUGCUCUCACAAUCACAAUUAACUGUUAGGACUUUAAUUAUAUUCUCAAUUUCAUGGCCAAAAAUUUUCUAACUUAGAUAACUUCUUUGAUUAAGAUGACAAAUCAAUUUCUCAUGAGAUUUUGUUCAAAAUAGGUGGAAGUACCAAAAUACAAAAAUUAAAGGUGCAUUUACUAAUUGUGGCUAAUUCAAAUUAAAUGACCAAAAUUAUAUUGACCAUUAGCAUGAUUAAUAUUAUAAAAUAACCACAUACUAAUCAAAAUAAGGUCAAGGAAACUAAGAUGAGUAAAGCAACAAUGGAUAAAAAUAAAAUAAAAUAAUAAACCAAA